CGAGACUGGCAGCUGAGAGAUACCAAAAGGAAGAAAAAAGAAAACCAUUGCUCUUGAUAUUGCUAAUGCCGGGGGAGGUAAGCUAACGAGAAAGUAGGGAAAAGGAAGGUUUUAGAGUUCACCUCCACUCCUUCCCCUGGCUAACACUCUUUACACUCUUCUGCCUUCCCUUGAGAUAAUUAAAAUAGACUGUACACCGGCCCUAGUCGGUGCCCAUUCCCCCUAACUCUUCACUCAACUACGUGUGUAGUCCGAGGGAGUGAGGACCCCGGGUCCAAGAGCUCAAUCCCGGCCCCGCCCCGUCGGCCCAGGCCCCGGGGCUGGGAGGAGAGGAUGCCUUCGGAGGCGCAGAAUCCGAAAAAGACCAAAUCUCCAGGAUUGUGAAUCAAUCAGAGAAUGUUUAGAAGCUGGGCAGAGAAAUCGAGCUGCAAAAUGACCUACAGAUAUUACAGUUUUAUUCUUGGAAAAUGGAGGUUGUCUAUUAGUGUGAUGGUAACAACCAACUAAUAAAAUUUGGAGACUAGACUGCUUGUCAUGUCUGGGGUUCACUGGAAAUCAAUGAUUCACUGGAACAAUUCUCCUGUCAAAAAAAAUGUGAGGUUUGUAACUUGCCCUAAGUAUAACAAGGGAUAUAUUUUAACAAAGGAUGUAUUUUUUCUUAAGAAGCAACCAUUUCUCAGCUUAUACAUAAUAGCAAUAAUAAAGUCUUUGACCCUA
rnacentral:lncRNA from 1 species